GAAAUAGAAUUAACAUGCUGGGAGGGGAACAAGGAGAUCACAACCUCCAAGCAGACCCAGGCCUUCUCCGGAUAGUUCUGAGUUGGCCUGAUGGGGCACAAGAGAUCACACAGAGCAGAAUACAGCUGACUCAGUGAAGGUCACUAACCAGCCAGUCCCCAGCCCAUCUGCCAGCUGCCCAAAGAUGCCAAACAACCAGUCUUAUGAGAAAUCAUAAAUGAUGGCUGAUUUGAGGUGAGUUUUGGGAGUAUUCUAUUUCUGUUCCAGCUAUGUAUUGCUGAGUUACAAACCACCUAAAACUUAAUGGCUUAAAGUGAUUUAUUAUAUACUCUCUGAUGGAUUUCCAUGGUCCUGUAUAUAGACUGGGCUUCCCUGAGCAAUGUCCACUUGGGAUCUUUCAUAUAAUUAUAGACACAUGACUACUGAAGGUUUGGCUGGGCAG
rnacentral:lncRNA from 1 species